rnacentral:rRNA from 1 species
GCAUGAAGCCGGAAUUGCUAGUAAUGGCAGGUCAGCAUACUGCCGUGAAUACGUUCCCGGGCCUUGUACACACCGCCCGUCACACCAUGAGAGUUGGGAAUACCCGAAGCCUGUGAGCUAACUAUUUAUAGAGGCAGCAGUCGAAGGUAGAAUCAAUGAUUGGGGUGAAGUCGUAACAAGGUACC